UACGUAGGUGGCAAGCGUUGUCCGGAUUUACUGGGCGUAAAGGGCGUGCAGGCGGUUUGUUAAGUGCAGGGUGAAAGCUCCCGGCUCAACUGGGAGAGGUCCUUGCAUACUGGCGAGCUCGAGGGAGGCAGAGGAAAGUGGAAUUCCCGGUGUAGUGGUGAUAUGCGUAGAUAUCGGGAGGAACACCUGUGGCGAAGGCGGCUUUCUGGGCCUGACCUGACGCUGAGACGCGAAAGCGUGGGGAGCGAACCGG
rnacentral:rRNA from 1 species